UACGGGGGGGGCAAGCGUUGUUCGGAAUUACUGGGCGUAAAGGGCUCGUAGGUGGCCAACUAAGUCAGACGUGAAAUCCCUCGGCUUAACCGGGGAACUGCGUCUGAUACUGGAUGGCUUGAGUUCGGGAGAGGGAUGCGGAAUUCCAGGUGUAGCGGUGAAAUGCGUAGAUAUCUGGAGGAACACCGGUGGCGAAGGCGGCGAUCCUGGACCGACACUGACGCUGAGGAGCGAAAGCCAGGGGAGCAAACGGG
rnacentral:rRNA from 1 species